rnacentral:lncRNA from 1 species
GGUCAUACUAUCAGCUAGUUGCACAUGUUUCUAAGUGCGUGUGUGUGUAUUUUUUCACCAACACCCAAAACUGUCAAAAGUCCUGCAUUACACAGCGUAGCAUAAUCAUAUUUGAGGUAUACAGUUGUAUAAAAGAAAAUCAUUGCUCUUCAACAAUGUCUGCUUCCCUCUUUGUGGUCAUACUGGGGUUGUACUACUGUAGCAAGGAGAGCUAUCAGUCAACUCUGGGGCGCCCAGAACUUAUUGGCCCUACAGAGGCUUUGGUGAAAAGGGUUGUAGAUUUUUAUUGUGAACUGAAAAUCUCCCCAGAGAAUGUAGCUAUCCUGCUGCAGUUAUUUAAGGUGGAUAAAAGUCCCAAGUUGUUGGGCGAAUACACCUCCCUGGAUAGGGAGGUUGCAGUCUUCCCCAUGGUAAUCAAACCUUCCCAUGAAGGCAACCUAACGUGUGUGGCCAAGGCACAGAACAACUCUAACAUAGAGCCCACUGUCAGCGACACACAGUACCUGAAGGUUGUUGAACCGGUGAAGGGUGCAAAGAUUGUCGUCCCUUCAGGCCAAGUGGAGUUUUUUGAGGGGAAGACACUGGAGCUACGCUGUAAACCUACUGUUGGAAAUCAUGUCUCCUACUCGUGGAUGCUGAAUGGUCAGCUUGUCUCUCAAUCUCGUCUCCUCUAUGUUGCAGAUGACUAUCUCUUGAUCAAGAGAACUACUUCUCAAGAUAGCGGCUCCUACAUGUGUGUCGCCACCAACGAAUUCAACAAAACAGACGUCUUUACCGCCAACAGCUCUGAAGUUGUAAUCACAGUGAAAGACCUGGUGUCUAUCCCUGACAUCUCCUUUACCGUGUUAAAGGAAGAUUCCCACAACUAUUCAGCCAUGGUCGCCUGUCAGACAACCAAAGGGACUCCACCUGUCACCUUUUCACUGUACAACAGGAGAGGAUCGGUUGACAAUGUGACGGUUGAUAAGAGAGAUGUCACAUUUAAGGUUCCAAUGGUCUUGGGCCGGCACUUGGGAUGGCUCCAGUGCCAGGCAAACAAUGGAGAUGGGAUCGAGUACAGUCAAUGGAUUUCCUUAGAAGUUGUUCCUGUUGGUGGGCCUGUGACGAUGCGUUACGACUAUGACAUUGGAGAAAACUAUGCCGUGAUCAGCCUGAGGUUCUACUGCAAGGCAGCGAAGGGAUCUCUCCCACGGUACCAAUGGUUCCUCAACAAAACCCUCCUGCAUGACCGAGGAAGCUUCUACUACGUGGUCAACCAGCCUCCAGAAGAGUCUGUACUCAUCCUGUCUGUAGGGAGGAGCAGCACUGGAUCGUACCACUGUGAAGUGUCGGACAGCUUUGACAACACCACCGCCAUAAGCAGCAAGAUGCUGUAUUUGGAUAAAGAAGGUCAAAGGCAGCUUGGAGAGAAGUCUCUGUUGAGCUUGGAGAUGGAGGGAAUGGUGGCUUCAAAUGAGGAUGAGCUGGAUUUCUCAGAGUACGAUGAGGAUGCUGAUGUAGUGAAGAUGGCCAGAGGUGGUGAAUUUGAUCAGGCAUCUGAAGUCUCUGUAGAUGAAUGGCCCCAAAUUGAAGAAGUGAAGAAAAUGUUGGAGGAUGAACCAGUUGAGGGACCCUGAGGGUUCAAACUGUUAUAAACACAGGCUGUGGUUGUUUAAUAAACAUUGGCUCAAGAUGUUCUGUGCUGUCACGUUUUUUCAGAAUAAUGAAUUAUUAUUCUUUCUAAAGUAUGUGUGCUGGUAGUAGUAAUAGCAGUCACUAUGGAAGCCCAUAGUAAAAGGAAAAAAAAAUCAAACAAGAUGAAAACUUAGCCUUGUGAUAAAAAAAAGUAAUUAUAAUACCAAACAUUCUCAGAAUAUUUGAGUUAGUAUCUCAAAAUACUGAGUUAGUAUGUCAGAAUAAUGAGUUAGUAUCUCAUAAAUAAUGAGUUAGUAUCUCAAAAUAAUGAAUUAGUAUCUCAGAAUAGUGACUUAGUAUCUCAGAAUAAUGACUUAGUAUCUCAGAAUAAUGACUUAGUAUCUCAGAAUAAUGAGUUAGUAUCUCAGAAUAAUGAG